rnacentral:rRNA from 1 species
GUCCACGCCGUAAACGAUGAUAACUAGCUGUCGGGGGCCAUAGGCUUUCGGUGGCGCAGCUAACGCAUUAAGUUAUCCGCCUGGGGAGUACGGCCGCAAGGUUAAAACUCAAAGAAAUUGACGGGGGCCUGCACAAGCGGUGGAGCAUGUGGUUUAAUUCGAAGCAACGCGCAGAACCUUACCAGCGUUUGACAUCCUCAUCGCGGAUUCCAGAGAUGGUUUCCUUCAGUUCGGCUGGAUGAGUGACAGGUGCUGCAUGGCUGUCGU